UACGUAGGGGGCUAGCGUUGUCCGGAAUCAUUGGGCGUAAAGAGCGUGUAGGCGGCCCGGUAAGUCCGCUGUGAAAGUCGGGGGCUCAACCCUCGAAUGCCGGUGGAUACUGUCGGGCUAGAGUGCGGAAGAGGCGAGUGGAAUUCCGUGGUGUAGCGGUGAAAUUCGUAGAUAUUCGCAAGAACACCAGUGGCGAAGGCGGCUGACUGGUCCGGUUCUGACGCUGAGGCGCGAAAGCGUGGGGAGCAAACAGG
rnacentral:rRNA from 1 species